rnacentral:rRNA from 1 species
UACAGGGGGUGCAAACGUUGCUCGGAAUCACUGGGCGUAAAGCGCACGUAGGCGGGUCGUUAAGUCAGGGGUGAAAUCCUGGAGCUCAACUCCAGAACUGCCUUUGAUACUGGGGAUCUUGAGUCCGGGAGAGGUGAGUGGAACUGCGAGUGUAGAGGUGAAAUUCGUAGAUAUUCGCAAGAACACCAGUGGCGAAGGCGGCUCACUGGCCCGGUACUGACGCUGAGGCACGAAAGCGUGGGGAGCAAACAGG